rnacentral:rRNA from 1 species
GAUGAACGCUGGCGGCGUGCCUAAUACAUGCAAGUCGAGCGAACGGACGAGAAGCUUGCUUCUCUGAUGUUAGCGGCGGACGGGUGAGUAACACGUGGAUAACCUACCUAUAAGACUGGGAUAACUUCGGGAAACCGGAGCUAAUACCGGAUAAUAUUUUGAACCGCAUGGUUCAAAAGUGAAAGACGGUCUUGCUGUCACUUAUAGAUGGAUCCGCGCUGCAUUAGCUAGUUGGUAAGGUAACGGCUUACCAAGGCAACGAUGCAUAGCCGACCUGAGAGGGUGAUCGGCCACACUGGAACUGAGACACGGUCCAGACUCCUACGGGAGGCAGCAGUAGGGAAUCUUCCGCAAUGGGCGAAAGCCUGACGGAGCAACGCCGCGUGAGUGAUGAAGGUCUUCGGAUCGUAAAACUCUGUUAUUAGGGAAGAACAUAUGUGUAAGUAACUGUGCACAUCUUGACGGUACCUAAUCAGAAAGCCACGGCUAACUACGUGCCAGCAGCCGCGGUAAUACGUAGGUGGCAAGCGUUAUCCGGAAUUAUUGGGCGUAAAGCGCGCGUAGGCGGUUUUUUAAGUCUGAUGUGAAAGCCCACGGCUCAAUUGUGGAGGGUCAUUGGAAACUGGAAAACUUGAGUGCAGAAGAGGAAAGUGGAAUUCCAUGUGUAGCGGUGAAAUGCGCAGAGAUAUGGAGGAACACCAGUGGCGAAGGCGACUUUCUGGUCUGUAACUGACGCUGAUGUGCGAAAGCGUGGGGAUCAAACAGGAUUAGAUACCCUGGUAGUCCACGCCGUAAACGAUGAGUGCUAAGUGUUAGGGGGUUUCCGCCCCUUAGUGCUGCAGCUAACGCAUUAAGCACUCCGCCUGGGGAGUACGACCGCAAGGUUGAAACUCAAAGGAAUUGACGGGGACCCGCACAAGCGGUGGAGCAUGUGGUUUAAUUCGAAGCAACGCGAAGAACCUUACCAAAUCUUGACAUCCUUUGACAACUCUAGAGAUAGAGCCUUCCCCUUCGGGGGACAAAGUGACAGGUGGUGCAUGGUUGUCGUCAGCUCGUGUCGUGAGAUGUUGGGUUAAGUCCCGCAACGAGCGCAACCCUUAAGCUUAGUUGCCAUCAUUAAGUUGGGCACUCUAAGUUGACUGCCGGUGACAAACCGGAGGAAGGUGGGGAUGACGUCAAAUCAUCAUGCCCCUUAUGAUUUGGGCUACACACGUGCUACAAUGGACAAUACAAAGGGCAGCGAAACCGCGAGGUCAAGCAAAUCCCAUAAAGUUGUUCUCAGUUCGGAUUGUAGUCUGCAACUCGACUACAUGAAGCUGGAAUCGCUAGUAAUCGUAGAUCAGCAUGCUACGGUGAAUACGUUCUCGGGUCU